GACGAACGCUGGCGGCGUGCCUAAUACAUGCAAGUAGAACGCACAGUUUAUACCGUAGCUUGCUACACCAUAGACUGUGAGUUGCGAACGGGUGAGUAACGCGUAGGUAACCUGCCUGGUAGCGGGGGAUAACUAUUGGAAACGAUAGCUAAUACCGCAUAAUAUUGAUUAUUGCAUGAUAAUUGAUUGAAAGAUGCUAUUGCAUCACUACCAGAUGGACCUGCGUUGUAUUAGCUAGUAGGUGAGGUAACGGCUCACCUAGGCGACGAUACAUAGCCGACCUGAGAGGGUGAUCGGCCACACUGGGACUGAGACACGGCCCAGACUCCUACGGGAGGCAGCAGUAGGGAAUCUUCGGCAAUGGACGAAAGUCUGACCGAGCAACGCCGCGUGAGUGAAGAAGGUUUUCGGAUCGUAAAGCUCUGUUGUAAGAGAAGAACGGGUGUGAGAGUGGAAAGUUCACACUGGACGGUAUCUACCAGAGGGCG
rnacentral:rRNA from 1 species